CCCCAUUAAAAAUUGGUAUUGGUAAGGAUAGUCCAUUUCUUUAUGCAAAAUCAAUGCUUUAAUAUGAUUUUACUUCCCCCUUGCUAAACCCAAGCAGCAGGGGUAUCAUGCAAUGUACUCAGUUUCUCCUUUCAGUUGAAUUAAGAUCACAAGACAGGAAAGACAAGGAGAAUUAGCAUUCAUACACAUUAAGGCUAUGUGACACCUUGUAAUCUAUGAUUCAGCUAAAUUGGCCCAAAUACUCAAAAAGACCAUACAAGAACAUUAGCCUUCCUGCAUACAAGAUGGGAUCCACCAAGUGCAUCUCAACAAAGGACAGCUAAACUACUUUUUGAGAAAGUAAAUUUCCAAAUUGUAAAUCAAAGAUACAAGCAAGAGGCAUCAAUUAGUUCAAAGAUUUUAUAACCAAGAAGAUAAAGUAGAGAGAAUCCAUGAUGCCGGCCAAUGACUUGGAUGUAUAAUCUUCAUGCUAUCAAGGUAUUAUAUAAUCUGCAUGCUAGCAGGAUCACUGUUGCGUGGGAUGAACUAUCUUGUCCUAAGUUAAUGCUGAGAUGGCUUUUUAAUCAUCUUUCUUCUUUGAAAAAUCUGGAUGUGUAUACUACUGAUAUUUCUUUAUUUACAGAUUCAACAACAGAUAUCUGUUGGAAACAUUUUCUCUGUAUCACCAAAAUAUUUUAUCAUCAUAUUUUCGUACUCAUAUUGCAGGUCGAAAUUGACUAAGACUAUGGAUUCUUCUCUCUGGGAUCCACCAAUUUGUGAAGGUUGCUCUGCCUUGUUAUUUUUUUAGCUAAAUGAUUCAAGUUACUACUGGUGGUUGUUUAGACUGAAAAAAUUACUGGAACUCUGUAUAGAUUCGAAUUUUGCAAGAUGGAAAUUUUCUAUUUCACUAAAGCUGAC
rnacentral:lncRNA from 1 species